rfam:Vagococcus teuberi strain DSM 21459, complete genome.
CGUUAUGGCUAGGACAAUGGUGGGCCGAUGAAGCGUGUCAGAUCUGGAAGGAAGCAGCACUAAGUUGGUGCCGCCAUGUGUCUGAAUUUAAUAUAAGCC